UUAUAGAUGAUCAAAUUCGUUACUGGGACCAUAUGAUUUCGAAUGGACCAAUCUAGGGACGGACCACGUUCAACAAUUUCUGUUCAAAUGAUCAAAUUCCGUAGAAAAGAAGGAAUGAAAAACAGAAAAAAGGAAAUUGCGUAUCUUUGUUCAGGUCCGCGAGAAUAGUGUUGUAAGAAAAUAUCAACGCUAUCUUUACUUUGAAUUCAUUAUUUUCAUUAAUAAUUUGUUAAAAUUAAAAUUUGCGGGGUGCAAUGCAAGCAAGCCAAGAGUUGAGCGUGACCUGAGCCGAACAAAAAACUCACAAAACGAAAGAAGAGAAACAUGCUUCUGCUAAGCUCUCCCAGCGGAGCUCUGUCCGCUAGAAAAUGUUCCCUCAAAUUUACAGCUCCAAUUCAACCUCUCUAUUCUAAUUCCGCUACUAGUCGAAGACCCAAACUCAUUCCGACCAGAAAUUCUCCAAAACCCCUUCAUCUCACUUUCGCCAAGGCUGAGGGAGGCCUAGACUCUGCCUCUGCCUCUGCUCCCAAACAAUCUACCCCUCCGCCGCCUCCUUUCAACAAUAACGACACCGUUUUUGUGGGUCAAGAAGAUGUCCCUUUGGAAGGCGUUAUCCAGUUUGAAAAACCCAGCUCCUCUUCUCAUCUUAUCAAAUGGGGUCGAGUGGCUUUGCUAGCUGGUGGCGAUGUAUUAGCUUUGCUUUUAUUUUCUGCAAUUGGAAGAUACAAUCAUGGCCUCCCUAUAUUUGCAAUGGAUACUUUACGUACUGCUGACCCUUUUAUGGCUGGAUGGUUUUUGAGUGCAUACUUCCUUGGUGGCUAUGGUGAGGAUGGUCGCGGAGCCAAUGGUCUAUCCCAAGCAGUUAUUGCUGCUGCCAAAUCUUGGGCGUUGGGAAUUCCUUUGCAUUGGACAUACCUAGGUGACAACAUGUCUAGGACAUAUUCCACCAUAUCCCUUUGUCUUAGUAACAAUGGGAAGCACUUCUGUGUUGCUUAUUGGGUGGAGAGCACUAGUGAUAAGCAUUUUCCCCGAUGAAACAAAUAAGAAGAAGAAUGAUGUAUACAGACGUGGCAGUCCGUUUGAACUAUUUGAGUUGCUUACAUCAUUGAUACGAAGAUGGUAACAUUGAUAACGCAACAUCUGCCAUGAGGUUGCUUCCUGGAGACAUCAAUUUUCACAAAGUUUAUGUAUACCUUGGGCUAAUCUGCUAUAGUUAUAACAGAUUAGUGAAAUCUCUUGUUAGUUUUUGAUAUCCAAACUUCAAGGUUGUAUCAUGAUGAUACACUCCUGUGAAUAUUUUAUUUGUGGUAAUUAGCAUUAAAAGUGUAAUGAUAGUUUCUCUAAAGGAGGGUGUGCAAACUUUUUCUGGAACUGCUACCAUGCAUUUUCAUUUUUAUUUUUGUGAAUCAUUUCCGAAUUUUUAAGAUGAAUGUAGCAGGAUGACUAUCUUUCCAA